rnacentral:rRNA from 1 species
GAUGAACGCUGGCGGCGUGCUUAACACAUGCAAGUCGAACGUGAGAAUAGCAAUAUUUGAAAGUGGCAAACGGGUGAGUAACACGUGGGAACCUGCCUCGAAGUGGGGGAUAACGAUUGGAAACGGUCGCUAAUACCGCACGGUUCUGCUCUGAUGGGAAUGGAGCAGAUAAAGAUUUAUCGCUUUGAGAGGGGCCCGCGGCCGAUUAGCUAGUUGGUAAGGUAAAGGCUUACCAAGGCGAUUAUCGGUAGCUGGUCUGAGAGGACGAUCAGCCACACGGGAACUGAGACACGGUCCCGACUCCUACGGGGGGCAGCAGUGAGGAAUAUUGGGCAAUGGGCGAAAGCCUGACCCAGCAACGCCGCGUGGAGGAUGAAGGCUUUAGGGUUGUAAACUCCUUUUGUGGGGGAAAAGAAUGGAUGGUACCCCAAGAAUAAGUCACGGCUAACUACGUGCCAGCAGCCGCGAUAAAGCACGACUGU